CACUCUAGACGAACUGCCGUUGACAAAACGGAGGAAGGUGGGGAGUGACGUCAAAUCAUCAUGCCCCUUAUGUUCUGGGCUACACACGUGCUACAAUGGCCGGUACAGACGGACGCAAAGCCGCGAGGUGGAGCAAAUCCUAAAAAGCCGGUCUCAGUUCGGAUUGCAGGCUGCAAUUCGCCUGCAUGAAGUCGGAAUCGCUAGUAAUCGCAGGUCAGCAUACUGCGGUGAAUACGUUCCCGGGCCUU
rnacentral:rRNA from 1 species